UCUUCCGUAGUAAAGUAGUCAGUAUAUGAGCUUGUCAUCUUGACUCACCACUUCUGAGGUGGAGAAGGUCAUUGCUCGGGACCCGGGUUCAAUUCCCGGCGGGAGAG